GAUGAACGCUGGCGGCAUGCCUAACACAUGCAAGUCGAACGGACUCUUAUAUUAGAAAAUCUCUACAUGCUUAGAGGUUCCCUAAUAUCAGAGUUAGUGGCGGACGGGUGAGUAACACGUUAGUACCUGCCCUUCAGUGGGGAAUAACUCGGCGAAAGUCGAGCUAAUACCGCAUAUGCUCGUUUACGAGUAAAGACUUCGGUCGCUGAAGGAGGGGCUUGCGUCUGAUUAGCUAGUUGGUGGAGUAAUAGCCCACCAAGGCGACGAUCAGUAGCUGGUUCGAGAGGAUGACCAGCCACACUGGGACUGAGACACGGCCCAGACUCCUACGGGAGGCAGCAGUGGGGAAUUUUGGACAAUGGGCGCAAGCCUGAUCCAGCCAUGCCGCGUGAGUGAAGAAGGCCU
rnacentral:rRNA from 1 species